rnacentral:lncRNA from 1 species
AUUUUUUAAUCCACAUUAAAGACUAAGAAAACAAGCAUGGUUUCAAAUGGCCCUCUGCGCUGUCAGUGAUUACUUGUGCUUGAUGUCACUGUCCUUCACAAAAUGUGAUAAUAAUGUUAGCUGAAAGCAUAAGAACCAAGUUUGACUCCACAGAAGCAGCUGGAAAUGAAUAACCACGUGCUUAAAUCUCCUAGGAACACACUGUUUGGCAUAUACUGCUGAAAGUUCCUCAUACUAAGUAGUGACAUACUUACGUUGUAUCUCAGCUGGUGUGCAUGGGGGAAUAUUCAUUUCUCAGUGGUAACAUGGAAUUUGAUCUUAUAAAAUGUUUUGAUAUACGUUUAAUGGAUUGAAACACUUUGAAG